CUGGAAACUCCGGCCAGUUUAUUAAAGUGCCUUCCCCGCCUGUGACCAUCAGGCAAAGGGAGAAUCUUGCUGGGAAUCUCGCUUCUAGCCAAUGAGGAAUUUUCAGAAAAGCGAAAUGGAAUGCAUCAUUUUGACAUCUCUGCAGAUCUGUAUUCCGAAAGGUACUCAGAUAUCCACGAAGUCCUCCUCAUCUCACACCAUCGUUUCUCUCACUGGGCACAAUCCAGCUUUAAAGAAUUCAACACUUACUGGUCUUCAGAGGACUGUCAGCAAUGACAGCAACCAGGGAUGCUGACAUGUCUUGUUGUUUACAAAGGAUGAGCACAAGGCCUUUUGGAUAACCUGAUAAGCCCUGCAACUCCUCUCUCCCUGUUCCUCACCUCUCUGGACCAGCU
rnacentral:lncRNA from 1 species